rnacentral:pre_miRNA from 1 species
CUGUGUGUGGUGGGAUGGCAGUGUGUGUUAGCUGGUUGAAGGUCUGACAUCAGCUAGCAUGCAGCUGCUGUCUUUCCACAUACUUU